rnacentral:lncRNA from 1 species
AUGCUGGCCACUGGGGGUCCCUCGCUCCUGCACACCCUGGGCCACUGGCACCCGGAAAAGAUGCCUUCCUUCCUCCAGAGGCUGUCCUGGACACAGAAGCAGGUGAAUUGCUGGCCCACAAUGCAGCCUCAUAGAUCUGUGCCGAGCGGAUCCAAGGGACCAGGGUCAGAGGUCCAAAGUGAGUUUCACUGGACAAACAUCAAGGUGUCAGUAGGUUGGGGCACUGCGACUCAAGCCUGGGUUCCUGGUACUCUGGAGGUGAAGGUGGACAAUCUGAUCCUGGGAGUUCAAGACCAACCUGGACAACACAGCCAGAGCCUGUCUGUAAAAAUGUAAAUAAAAUCAAUUUAAAAAGAAAAUAAAGAGCUGAGUGUGGUGGUGCCUGCUUAUACUCCCAGUACUCAAGGAGGUUGAGACAAGAGGAUCACAAGUUCAAGCUUGGCCUGGGCAACUUGAGCAAGCUCUUGUCUCAAAAACUAUAAGGGGCUGGAGGCGUAGCUCAGUGUGAAGGCUUGGG